GGAAGGGAGAGAGCGGGUUGAACUGCAGAGUUCAGUUGGCAAAUACAGCUCUUCUCUGUCUCUCUCGAAAUGUAUAAGCCAACCAGCAAGCAAGGUGGUAGAGCCUGAUUUCCAGCGGGAACAAUGGGUCCCAAGGACAGAGCCUGAAGAAUGCCAUGACGGAUCCUGUUUGCCAGCCCCAGCCAGGAUGCAGGGUGAAGAAAGCAGAACACGGAGAACUUCAGUGAGGUGCACAAGGUCACAGGGUAACCAAAUGGCAGGUGGAGCCUAGAGCUGGAUGUAGGACGUCUAUUCUUCAUCACACCCUGCCCACUUCCCUGCCAUCAGAUAUGCAUUUACAGUUCUGGCUGCUUUACAAAAUAUGACUUCUACGCUGACACCUAAUAAUCUUCAUUAUUGCACCGGCCUGCUGCUGCUGGAGUUCUGGACAUGUCCUACAUCCGGACCUCGGUGGAGUAUUUAUAUGCAAAAACCAAAAUCUACCUUUAAGAAGUCUGUGCUUUACUAUAUAGGUAGGCUGAUGACAGCUGAAGAAGACUGUAUUUGCUGAGGAGCAGCAUGAUGGUAGAGAGGAGCAGAGCUCCUGAGGGAGACCUAAUGGUUCCUCUCCUUCCUGCACGGAGAUAAAGACUUAUAAUAAGCGUGCAUGUUCACCAUCUGGCUCUGUGCAUGUGGUCCUUAUGGAGGGGAAAGCAGCGCAAUCUGUAAAUGAUCAGGAGCCACGGCGCUCUCUCCAGAGAAUCCACGAUGCAAUCAAGGUGACAGAUGGCAUGGCCACUGCUGUGGCCUCAUGGAGAAGAUCAAAAUCACCUUCAAUAAACUCUGACUGAAAUGGGCAUGAGCACCUCAAAAAAGUCAGUUUGUCAGUCAAACUGCGGCAGCAGGCUGCAUUGGGGAAACAUAGCGGCCAGCUCUCUGUUUUCAAUCGUUUCCGUCUGACUGGGCCUGAACUAUGAUCUUUCUCAAAUUGUCCUUUCUGUUUAGCUGAAGCAGGCCAGCAAAUUGCCAGAUUCAUUGCUUUAUUGAAGAAAAUUGAAAACACGAUGUCCUCAAUUCCGGGGACGCGCGGCUGGCAGGUGCUGGGACACCCAAGCGCUGAGAGUGGGUCCCUGUGUCUUUGGCCCAAGUUCGCUCAACUUUAGGCAGAUUUUUGGAUAUGAAAAUAAAAUGCAAAUGUGUGCCUGGCCUGAAAAGAUCAGCUGGCAACGGAUAUGUAAAGGGUAUUAGGUGUCCAAUAAAUGUGUGUUGAAUAAACACAUGCUUGAAAAGAGGAAGGAAGGAAGGAAGGAAG